UACGCCUAUGCCUCAGGUCAGCACAGCUAACAGGUGUUGAGCCAAUUGGUUUACUGUAGUCAGGUAUGUGUUGUAUUGUGGGAUCCGGUAGAGGAAACUAAUAAUAAACAGAGGAAAAAGCUUGUAGCGUCAUGCAGUACUUCAGAUGAUUUUACAUGUAGCACUACAGAGAAACAGUCAUAUGAUUACAGCCUGAGUAUCACCUACUACCUGUGUUUCUAUUCAAUUGAGUUUUUUUUCCCUUUGCUUGCGAUAACAAGUUAUUAAUCUCAUAUCUCAUAAACACGUGACCAGACUGGUUUGUACUGACAGAUUUUGGUUUCCUUGGACUUUUCACUCUGAGAAGAAACAGAAUCAACAGAAACCACGAGAGGUUAGAGCAAACCAGACCAGAGUAAAUCUGCUGGAGCGGAAACGUUCUGAGAAGGUUCUGCUGGCGGGAAGAACUCCGUGUUUUACAGGAGUUUCGUCAAAAUCAGUGUCGUAAAAACAAAACGAGACAUUUUCUUUUCUUUUCCAGGUAGCCAAACAGCCAUCGACUCCCCAGAGCCUCAAAAAGACAAACAAGAAGAAUAUUUCAGGGUCUGAUUUUAUCAGCUUUCAGAGAAAAGUUGCAGUUCCACCAGCGCUGUACUGUAAGACUAACGGCAGCCCGGGUACACCUGCUGCCAGGACGAAGAGACAGCUGACCCCCAUGUCGGAGUCAAAGAAAGUCACAUUUGGGCUGAAGAACAACAAAACUGCUGAGUUCAAGAAGACUGAUCGCAGCUUGCUCCUCAGUCCAGAAGGUUUGUCUCGGGUGCCCUUUGACCCACAGCAAAAACCAAAGUUUGGGGUCCUAAAGUCUCCGCCCACCACAGCGUCCACUGGCUCCAGGAAGACAUCAAAGAAAACCCCUAACUUCUCCAAGAAGACCGGUUCCAAAUCUCUGCCAAACACACCUAAAAGACGACCUUCAGCAGCAGACUUUUUUUAACUUCCUGUAGAACUGUAGACACACGUGAUCUCUUUGAACCCUUUGAUACAAUCUGUUUUGAAUUUUGGGCUCUGUUUUUGUUUAUUCUAUCAAAUUGUUGCAUUUGACCUGGUUUGAGUGACUGUUUAAAUAAAGUUAUUCAUUCCUUCUUUUA